UGAAAAAAAAAUGACUUUAUUCGGAGGUAGUCAACCUAAAAUUUAAAUACGUGACUGUAUUCUGAGGUAGUCAACCUGAAAUUUAAAUACGUGACUGUAUUCUGAGGUAGUCAACCUAAAAUUUAAAAACAUGACUUUAUUCUGAGGUAGUCAACCUAUGAAAAUAUGACUUUAUUGUGAGGCAGUCAACCUAAAAAUAUGACUUUAUUUGGAGGCAGUCAACC